rnacentral:rRNA from 1 species
UACGUAGGGUGCGAGCGUUAAUCGGAAUUACUGGGCGUAAAGCGUGCGCAGGCGGCUUUGCAAGACAGAGGUGAAAUCCCCGGGCUCAACCUGGGAACUGCCUUUGUGACUGCAAGGCUAGAGUACGGCAGAGGGGGAUGGAAUUCCGCGUGUAGCAGUGAAAUGCGUAGAUAUGCGGAGGAACACCAAUGGCGAAGGCAAUCCCCUGGGCCUGUACUGACGCUCAUGCACGAAAGCGUGGGGAGCAAACAGGAUUAGAUACCCUGGUAGUCCACGCCCUAAACGAUGUCAACUGGUUGUUGGACGGCUUGCUGUUCAGUAACGAAGCUAACGCGUGAAGUUGACCGCCUGGGGAGUACGGCCGCAAGGUUGAA